AUUGAACGCUAGCGGGAUGCUUUACACAUGCAAGUCGAACGAGUGGCGGACGGGUGAGUAAUAUAUCGGAAGUGCCCAGUAGCGGGGGAUAACUACUAGAAACAGUAGCUAAUACCGCAUACUAUCGGAUAACCCAUAUGGGAUUAGCUAGUAGGUGAGGUAAUGGCUCACCUAGGCGACGAUCCCUAGCUGGUCUGAGAGGAUGACCAGCCACACUGGGACUGAGACACGGCCCAGACUCCUACGGAGGCAGCAGUGGGGAAUAUUGCACAAUGGGCGCAAGCCUGAUGCAGCCAUGCCGCGUGUAUGAAGAAGGCCUUAGGGUUGUAAAGUACUUUCAGUCGGGAGGCGUUACCCACAGAAGAAGCACCGGCUAACUCCGUGCCAGCAGCCGCGGUAAUAC
rnacentral:rRNA from 1 species